GGUGCGGUAACACGCACUGGAGGUCCGAACCGAUUAACGUUGAAAAGUUACCGGAUGAGUUGUGUUUAGGGGUGAAAGGCCAAUCAAGCCGGGAAAUAGCUGGUUCUCCGCGAAAACUAUUGAGGUAGUGCCUCGGAUGUUUUCCUGUGGGGGUAGAGCACUGGAUGGAUGCGGGGGUCGCGAGAUCUACCAAUUCUAACCAAACUCCGAAUACCCAAGAGAACUAUCUUGCAGACACA
rnacentral:rRNA from 1 species